GACGAACGCUGGCGGCGUGCUUAAUACAUGCAAGUCGAACGGAAAGGCCCGGCUUUUGUUGGGUGCUCGAGUGGCGAACGGGUGAGUAACACGUGAGUAACCUGCCCUUGACUUUGGGGUAACUUCAGGAAACUGGGGCUAAUACCGGAUAGGAGCUCCUGCUGCAUGGUGGGGGUUGGAAAGUUUCGGCGGUUGGGGAUGGACUCGCGGCUUAUCAGCUUGUUGGUGGGGUAGUGGCUUACCAAGGCUUUGACGGGUAGCCGGCCUGAGAGGGUGGACGGCCACAUUGGGACUGAGAUACGGACCAGACUGCUACGGGCGGCAGCAGUGGAGAAUAUUGCACAACGGGCGGAAGUCUGAUGCAGAAACGCCGGGUGCGGGAUGACGGCCUUCGGGUGGUAAACAGCUUUCGAAGGUGACGAAGAGUGCGUGACGGUAAUGGGUAAAGAAGCAACGGCUAACUACGUG
rnacentral:rRNA from 1 species